AGGGCGCGAGGCGGAUGCCUUGGCGCGGGAAGUCGACGAAGGGCGCGGCAAGCUGCGAUAAGCCGCGGGGAGGCGCAAACGGCCUUAGAUCCGCGGAUUCCCGAAUGGGGGAACCCAGCAGGGGCAAUGCCCUGCUACCGGCCGCCGAAUCAAAUAGGCGGCCAGGAGGCAACCGGGGGAACUGAAACAUCUAAGUACCCCGAGGAAGAGAAAUCAACCGAGAUCCCGGGAGUAGCGGCGAGCGAAACCGGGCCAGCCCAAACCGGCGCGCGUGCAAGCGUGCGGGCGUUUCCGCGCCGGUGUUGUUGGGCGGGGCAACCGAGGGCCGCAUCCCUCGGCCGCUGUUACAAACCAGCCAUCUAGGGGAACGGCCUGGGAAGGCCGGCGGAACAGGGUGAGAGCCCCGUACCCGGAAGGUCGCUGGCAGCGGGUCUCCGGCCCAGAGUAGCGCGGGGCACGUGAAACCCCGCGCGAAGCAGGGGGGACCACCCUCCAAGGCUGAACACUCUCCCGCGACCGAUAGCGAACCAGUACCGUGAGGGAAAGGUGAAAAGCACCCCGAGAGGGGAGUGAAACAGCGCCUGAAACCGCGCGCCCACGAGCAGUCGGAGCACCUUUUCACGGUGUGACGGCGUGCCUUUUGUAGAAUGAGCCAGCGAGUCACGAUGCGCGGCGAGGUUAAGCUUUUAAGCGAGCCGCAGCGAAAGCGAGUCUUUAAGACGGCGACACGAGUCGCGCGUCGUGGACGCGAAGCCGGGUGAGCUACCCAUGGGCAGGCUGAAGCGGGGGUAAGACCCCGUGGAGGGCCGAACCCACUUCGGUUGAAAACGGAGGGGAUGACCCGUGGGUAGGGGUGAAAGGCCAAUCAAACCCGGAGAUAUCUCGUUCUCCCCGAAAUAGCUUUAGGGCUAGCCCCGGCCGUUUUCCCGCGGCGGUAGAGCACUGGACGGAGGAGGGGGCCUCACCGCCUACCGAUGCCGACCAAACUCCGAAUGCCGCGAGACAUGAGGCCGGGAGUCAGAGCAUGUGGGCUAAGCUGUGUGCUCGAGAGGGAAACAGCCCAGACCGCCCGCUAAGGCCCCCAAGUCAUCGCUGAGUGGCAAAGGAUGUGCGUCCGCCCAGACAACCAGGAUGUUGGCUUAGAAGCAGCCAUGCAUUCAAAGAGUGCGUAACAGCUCACUGGUCGAGUGGACAUGCGCCGACAAUUCACGGGGCUAAGCGAUGCGCCGAAGCGGCGGAAUGAACUUUUCAUUGGUAGGGGAGCUUCCCCUGCGCGGCGAAGCCGGAGGGCGACCGACGGUGGAGCGCAGGGGAGUGAGGAUGCUGGCAUGAGUAACGAGAGCGGCGCGGGAAACGCCGCCGCCGUAAGCCCAAGGUUUCCUGGGCAAGGCUAAUCCUCCCAGGGUCAGUCGGGAGCUAAGGCGAGGCCGGAAGGCGUAGCCGAUGCGCAACAGGCGGACAUUCCUGUACCGCCUCGGGACCGCUAUCGACCGAAGGGGCGACGGAGAAGGGUACGCAGGCGGGGUUCUGGACGCCCCCGUGAAAGCAUGUAGGCCGCAGGGCAGGCAAAUCCGCCCUGCAGAUAAGGCCGAGACGCGAGACGAAGCCGCAAGGCGAAGCUGCGGAGCCCACGCUCCCCGGAAAAACCCCUAGGCAGGGCCCGAGGCGCCCGUACCAAAACCGACACAGGUGGGCGGGUAGAGCAUACCGAGGCGAUCGGGGGAACCAUGGUCAAGGAACUCGGCAUAAUCGCUCCGUAACUUCGGGAGAAGGAGUGCCGCUGCAGGUGGAGGGACGUCGCUCCCCGAGCCCGCGGCGGCCGCAGCGAAACGGCCCAAGCGACUGUUUACCAAAAACACAGGACUCUGCCAACCCGCGAGGGGAAGUAUAGGGUCUGACGCCUGCCCGGUGCCGGAAGGUUACGCGGAUGCGUUAGCGCAAGCGAAGCGCUGAAGCCAAGCCCCGGUAAACGGCGGCCGUAACUAUAACGGUCCUAAGGUAGCGAAAUUCCUUGUCGGGUAAGUUCCGACCUGCACGAAUGGCAUAACGAUGGCCACACUGUCUCCUCCCGAGACUCAGUGAAGUUGAAAUGUUUGUGAUGAUGCAAUCUACCCGCGGCUAGACGGAAAGACCCCAUGAACCUUUACUGCAGCUUUGCAUUGAACUGUGAACCGAUUUGUGUAGGAUAGGUGGGAGGCAGAGAAGAGGCCACGCCAGUGGCCUUGGAGCCGACCUUGAAAUACCACCCUGAUUUGUUUGCGGUUCUAACCACGGACAGUGAUCCUGUCUUGGGACCGUGCAUGGUAGGCAGUUUGACUGGGGCGGUCUCCUCCUAAAGGGUAACGGAGGAGUACGAAGGUACGCUAGGUACGGUCGGAAAUCGUGCUGAUAGUGCAAUGGCAAAAGCGUGCUUGACUGCGAGAGCAACAACUCGAGCAGAUGCGAAAGCAGGUCAUAGUGAUCCGGUGGCUCUGAAUGGAAGGGCCAUCGCUCAACGGAUAAAAGGUACUCUGGGGAUAACAGGCUGAUACCGCCCAAGAGUUCAUAUCGACGGCGGUGUUUGGCACCUCGAUGUCGGCUCAUCUCAUCCUGGGGCUGUAGUCGGUCCCAAGGGUAUGGCUGUUCGCCAUUUAAAGAGGUACGUGAGCUGGGUUUAAAACGUCGUGAGACAGUUUGGUCCCUAUCUGCCGUGGGCGUUGGAAGAUUGACGGGGGCUGCUCCUAGUACGAGAGGACCGGAGUGGACGCACCUCUGGUGUACCGGUUGUCACGCCAGUGGCAUUGCCGGGUAGCUAAGUGCGGAAGAGAUAACCGCUGAAAGCAUCUAAGCGGGAAACUUGCCUGAAGAUGAGUCUUCCCGGAGGUUGAACCUCCCUCAAGAGUCGUCCGAGACCAGGACGUCGAUAGGUCAGGUGUGUAAGCGCUGUAAGGCGUUGAGCUAACUGAUACUAAUUGCUCGUGAGGCUUGAUC
rnacentral:rRNA from 1 species